GACGAACGCUGGCGGCGUGCUUAACACAUGCAAGUCGAACGGAAAGGCCCUGCUUUUGUGGGGUGCUCGAGUGGCGAACGGGUGAGUAACACGUGAGUAACCUGCCCUUGACUUUGGGAUAACUUCAGGAAACUGGGGCUAAUACCGGAUAGGAGCUCCUGCUGCAUGGUGGGGGUUGGAAAGUUUCGGCGGUGGUGGAUGGACUCGCGGCUUAUCAGCUUGUUGGUGGGGUAGUGGCUUACCAAGGCUUUGACGGGUAGCCGGCCUGAGAGGGUGACCGGCCACAUUGGGACUGCGAUACGCCCCAGACUCCUACGGUCGGCAGAAGUCGGGAAUCUUGCACAAUGGGCCGAAGCCUGAUGCAGCAACGCCGCGUGCGGGAUGCCGGCCUUCGGGUUGUAAACCGCUUUCGCCUGUGACGAAGCGUGAGUGACGGUAAUGGGUAAAGAAGCCCCGGCUAACUACGUG
rnacentral:rRNA from 1 species